rnacentral:rRNA from 1 species
CAGCCGCCACGGUAAUACGUAGGUCCCGAGCGUUGUCCGGAUUUAUUGGGCGUAAAGCGAGCGCAGGCGGUUAGAUAAGUCUGAAGUUAAAGGCUGUGGCUUAACCAUAGUACGCUUUGGAAACUGUUUAACUUGAGUGCAAGAGGGGAGAGUGGAAUUCCAUGUGUAGCGGUGAAAUGCGUAGAUAUAUGGAGGAACACCGGUGGCGAAAGCGGCUCUCUGGCUUGUAACCGACGCUGAGGCUCGAAAGCGUGGGGAGCAAACAGGAUUAGAUACCCGGGUAGUCCCUGUCUCUUAUACC